rnacentral:rRNA from 1 species
UACGUAGGAGGCGAGCGUUAUCCGGAAUUACUGGGCGUAAAGGGCGCGCAGGCGGCCCUGCAGGUUGGGCGUGAAAGCUCCCGGCUCAACUGGGAGAGGUCGCACAAGACGGCAGGGCUCUGAGGGCAGGAGAGGCCGGUGGAAUUCCCGGUGUAGUGGUGAAAUGCGUAGAGAUCGGGAGGAACACCAGUGGCGAAAGCGGCCGGCUGGUCUGCCACUGACGCUGAGGCGCGAAAGCUAGGGGAGCGAACGG